AGAAUCAACGCUGGCGGCGUGCCUAACACAUGCAAGUCGAACGAGAAAGUGGAGCAAUCCAUGAGUAAAGUGGCGCACGGGUGAGUAACACGUGACUAACCUACCCUUGAGUGGGGGAUAACCUAGAGAAAUCUGGGCUAAUACCGCAUAAUACCUUCGGGUCAAAGGAGCAAUUCGCUUAAGGAGGGGGUCGCGGCCGAUUAGUUAGUUGGCGGGGUAAUGGCCCACCAAGACUAUGAUCGGUAUCCGGCCUGAGAGGGCGCACGGACACACUGGAACUGAAACAUGGUCCAGACUCCUACGGGAGGCAGCAGUGGGAAUUUUGCGCAAUGGGGGAAACCCUGACGCAGCAACGCCGCGUGGAGGAUGAAGUCCCUUGGGACGUAAACUCCUUUCGAUCGGGAAGAUAAUGACGGUACCGGAAGAAGAAGCCCCGGCUAACUCGUGCCAGCAGCCGC
rnacentral:rRNA from 1 species